AAUGAACGUUGGCGGCAUGGAUUAGGCAUGCAAGUCGAGCGAGAAGUGUAGCAAUACACGGAAAGCGGCGGAAGGGAGAGUAAUACGUGGGAAUCUGCCCUUAGACCUGGGAUAGCAGCAGGAAACUGCUGGUAAUACCAGAUAAUGUCUAUGGACCAAAGGUGUGAUUCCGUCUAGGGAUGAGCCCACGUCCUAUUAGCUAGUUGGUAGGGUAAUGGCCUACCAAGGCGAUGAUGGGUAGCGGGUGUGAGAGCAUGACCCGCCUCACUGGGACUGAGACACUGCCCAGACACCUACGGGUGGCUGCAGUCGAGAAUCUUCGGCAAUGGGCGCAAGCCUGACCGAGCGAUGCCGCGUGCGGGAUGAAGGCCUUCGGGUUGUAAACCGCUGUCGAGGGGGAGCAACUUCCAUAGAGUUAUCUUUAUGGAUUGAGUGAUCCCUGGAGGAAGGACGGACUAAGUUCGUGCCAGCAGCCGCAGUAAAAC
rnacentral:rRNA from 1 species